AACGAACGCUGGCGGCAGGCCUAACACAUGCAAGUCGAGCGAGGACUUCGGUCCUAUCUGCGGACGGGUGAGUAACGCGUGGGAACGUGCCCUUUGCUUCGGAAUAGCCCUGGGAAACUGGGAGUAAUACCGGAUGAGCCCUUUGCGGGAAAGAUUUAUCGGCGAAGGAUCGGCCCGCGUUGGAUUCGGUGGUUGGUGGGGUAAUGGCCUACCAAGCAGACGAUCCAGAGCUGGUUUGAGAGGAGGAUCAGCCACACUGGGACUGAGACACGGCCCAGACUCCUACGGGAGGGAGCAGUGGGGAAUCUUAGACAAUGGGGGAAAACCUGAUCGAGCCAUGCCGCGUGAGAGAUGAAGGCCUUAGGGUUGUAAAGCUCUUUCAGCUGGGAAGAUAAUGACGGUACCAGCAGAAGAAGCCCCGGCUAACUCCGUG
rnacentral:rRNA from 1 species